GGAAAGAAAAGCCGCCGGAUAAUACCCGGCGGUCUUGACGGUACCGGCAGAAUAAGCACCGGCUAACUACGUGCCAGCAGCCGCGGUAAUACGUAGGGUGCGAGCGUUAAUCGGAAUUACUGGGCGUAAAGCGUGCGCAGGCGGUUUGUUAAGUCCGCUGUGAAAGCCCCGGGCUCAACCUGGGAAUGGCGGUGGAAACUGGCGAGCUAGAGUGUGUCAGAGGGGGGUGGAAUUCCACGUGUAGCAGUGAAAUGCGUAGAGAUGUGGAGGAACACCGAUGGCGAAGGCAGCCCCCUGGGAUAACACUGACGCUCAGGCACGAAAGCGUGGGGAGCAAACAGGAUUAGAUACCCUGGUAGUCCACGCCCUAAACGAUGUCAACUAGGUGUUGGGGAAGCAAUUCCUUGGUACCGCAGCUAACGCGUGAAGUUGACCGCCUGGGGAGUACGGUCGCAAGAUUAAAACUCAAAGGAAUUGACGGGGACCCGCACAAGCGGUGGAUGAUGUGGAUUAAUUCGAUGCAACGCGAANAACCUUACCUACCCUUGACAUGGUUGGAACCCUGCAGAGAUGCGGGGGUGCCCGAAAGGGAGCCAACACACAGGUGCUGCAUGGCUGUC
rnacentral:rRNA from 1 species